UAUCCUGGCUCAGGAUGAACGCUGGCGGCGUGCCUAAUACAUGCAAGUCGAGCGAAUGGAUUAAGAGCUUGCUCUUAUGAAGUUAGCGGCGGACGGGUGAGUAACACGUGGGUAACCUGCCCAUAAGACUGGGAUAACUCCGGGAAACCGGGGCUAAUACCGGAUAACAUUUUGAACCGCAUGGUUCGAAAUUGAAAGGCGGCUUCGGCUGUCACUUAUGGAUGGACCCGCGUCGCAUUAGCUAGUUGGUGAGGUAACGGCUCACCAAGGCAACGAUGCGUAGCCGACCUGAGAGGGUGAUCGGCCACACUGGGACUGAGACACGGCCCAGACUCCUACGGGAGGCAGCAGUAGGGAAUCUUCCGCAAUGGACGAAAGUCUGACGGAGCAACGCCGCGUGAGUGAUGAAGGCUUUCGGGUCGUAAAACUCUGUUGUUAGGGAAGAACAAGUGCUAGUUGAAUAAGCUGGCACCUUGACGGUACCUAACCAGAAAGCCACGGCUAACUACGUG
rnacentral:rRNA from 1 species